rnacentral:rRNA from 1 species
AUACGGAGGGUGCAAGCGUUACUCGGAAUCACUGGGCGUAAAGCGCGCGCAGGCGGGCUGAUAAGUUGGAUGUGAAAGCCUACGGCUCAACCGUAGAACUGCAUCCAAAACUGUCAGCCUAGAGUCUGGGAGGGGAAGAUGGAAUUAGUUGUGUAGGGGUAAAAUCCGUAGAGAUAACUAGGAAUACCAAAAGCGAAGGCGAUCUUCUGGAACAGUACUGACGCUGAGGCGCGAAAGCGUGGGGAGCAAACAGGAUUAGAAACCCUAGUAGUCC